rnacentral:lncRNA from 1 species
AAUCACAAAAGCAAGAGGCAAGCAGUCUAAACGUUCUGAAUUGUGCUCACACGGCUGAAAGUAAACCAGGGGUCCCUACAGGUUUGCCUAAUCUGUGAAUAGAAUGAGAGGUCACAAAAUAGAUAAAGUAGAUAUAAAUUGCACAAUGGAUGAUGUGUAUGACGGCUACUCUUCUUUGUGUUGCAGGUACAUUGUGAUUCCCUCAAUGCGCUGUUGAAUAAAUGUUAUAGGAUGCCCUUUACAUCCAUCUCAACUCCGGACAAUACCCAGAGAUGCAUCAUGCACCUGUCCUGAGCCCCCUCUCUGAAGGAAAAGUAUACAGACGAGGAGGCAUACAAAGGUAUGUCAAUUGGUAUUGGUAUGUAAUGCAGAUCACAUUUACCAUCCUCCUCCCUUACCUCUUCAAUGAAUAUCCCAUAGGCCUCUACAUUAUGGACAAGACUUCACGAUCCCGACACCUCUGUGUUCUUUGGUAUCUAAUUAAUGACCCAGAUCCACAUUGUCAAUUGGAAGAAGUCACAUGUAGGCAGGAAACCUGUUCGAUCACCAUGCACUGCAAAAUCAUUCUGGCUGUGGAUACAGAGAACAUCAACACAUUAACAUCAACACAACAGAGGAUAAACCCACUGGACUUGGGGCUCUGCUGGGAGUUUACCUCAUAUUUAGAUUUUUUAUUCUGCUUUGCCACUAAAAUCAUAAUAAACACUGAGAACUAAAAUAUUGUGUUAUUGUUGUUAUGCGUAUUAUUAUUAUUAUUAGUAAUAAUAAUAACUGGGGAGGGUGGUGGUUCAAAAAUUAACCACAAACGGUU